rnacentral:rRNA from 1 species
GAUGAACGCUGGCGGCGUGCCUAAUACAUGCAAGUCGAGCGAACACACCAGGAGCUUGCUCCUCUGACGUUAGCGGCGGACGGGUGAGUAACACGUGGAUAACCUACCUAUAAGACUGGGAUAACUUCGGGAAACCGGAGCUAAUACCGGAUAAUAUAUUGAACCGCAUGGUUCAAUAGUGAAAGACGGUUUUGCUUUCAGUUAUUGAUGGAACCGCGCGGCAUUAGCUAGUUGGUAAGGUAACGGCUUACCAAGGCACCGAUGCAUAGCCGACCUGAGAGGGUGAUCGGCCACACUGGAACUGAGACACGGCCCAGACUCCUACGGGAGGCAGCAGUAGGGAAUCUUCCGCAAUGGGCGAAAGCUUGACGGAGCAACGCCGCGUGAGUGAUGAAGGUCUUCGGAUCGUAAAACUCUGUUAUUAGGGAAGAACAAAUGCGUAAGUAACUAUGCACGUCUUGACGGUACCUAAUCAGAAAGCCACGGCUAACUACGUG